AAGAAAUAACACGACGGGUGCCAUAUACGGUGCAGGAAAUGCUUACCCUUCCGUAGCACCUGAUUUCACUCCCGGUUUUUAGUGGAGUUCGUGUUGUUUCUUAUUUAUUAUGUAUUUGUAACUGUUGAUGUAAAUGUCUUUUGGUUUUAUGAGUCUUUGUUUACUCCUUGGUUUUGAUUGUUAUUGUCUCUCUUAUGUUUUUAUGUUGUGCUUUGUGUACUUUUGUUUGUCUAUUUUCCUUUUUGUUUUAGCCAUGGCGUUGUUUAUUUUCGACUUAUGAGUUUGAAUCUCCUUUGUUAUCUUCUGUAUGUUUUUUUUAGAUGUGUUGGAUCUCCUUUGUUAUCUUCUGCAUGUUUUUUUUAGAUGUGUUGAAUCUCCUUUGUUAUCUUCUGUAUGUUUUUUUUUAGAUGUGUUGAAUCUCCUUUGUUAUCUUCUGCAUGGUUUUUUUUAGAUGUGUUGAAUCUCCUUUGUUAUCUUCUGCAUGGUUUUUUUUAGAUGUGUAAGGUGCCACCACAAGCUGGCUGGUCGUUAUGGAUAUAUCAGUUUUCUAGUUGAAGGCAGGACGCCUACGGGUGCGAGAGUUUCUCGCUACAUUGAAGACCCAUUGGUGGUCUUCGGCUGUUGUCUGCUCUAUUGUCGGGUUGUUGUCGCUUUGACACAUUCCCCAUUUCCUUUCUGAAUUUUAUGUUCUAGUUGUUGUAUUCACUAUCCCGACAUCUUUUCUUCGAAAUUUACCUAAUUAAAUAUAUCACCGGGCAACUGUACAUACAUUAGUAACAUGGCUG
rnacentral:lncRNA from 1 species